AACGAACGCUGGCGGCAUGCCUAACACAUGCAAGUCGAACGAGACCUUCGGGUCUAGUGGGGCACGGGUGCGUAACGCGUGGGAACCUGCCCUUAGGUUCGGAAUAACUCCCCGAAAGGGGUGCUAAUACCGGAUAAUGUCUUCGGACCAAAGAUUUAUCGCCUUUGGAUGGGCCCGCGUUGGAUUAGCUAGUUGGUAGGGUAAAAGCCUACCAAGGCGACGAUCCAUAGCUGGUCUGAGAGGAUGAUCAGCCACACUGGGACUGAGACACGGCCCAGACCCCUACGGGAGGGAGCAGUGGGGAAUAUUGGACAAUGGGCGAAAGCCUGAUCCAGCAAGGCCGGGUGAGUGAGGAAGGCCUUAGGGUUGUAAAGCUCUUUUACCCGGGAUGAUAAGGACGGUACCGGGAAAAAAAGCCCCGGCAAACUCCGG
rnacentral:rRNA from 1 species